rfam:Botryotinia fuckeliana T4 unplaced genomic scaffold BcT4_SuperSuperContig_C_V3_A__V4, whole genome shotgun sequence.
GGUGGUGUGGUGUAAUGGUAGCACGUGGUGUUGUGGUUUCUCCUCUAAGGGUCUUCACGAAGAUGAGCUGUUGCAAGCUCCAAUUCCCGCUUCAAUCUGGGUUCGAUUCCCAGCACCGCCA